ensembl:ncRNA C18H9.11 ncRNA
AAACAUAAACGUCGUUGAAAAGGCGGAAUCGGAGACACCCUCGUUGAGUUACACGUAUUAGGAAAAUGUGAAAAAUAUACAGCUAUCAAAAAAUUAAUAAAAUUAGAAUGAUGUGGCACACGGUCCCGCAUAAUAGUCACAUUCAUGUU